ACUCCUACGGGAGGCAGCAGUGGGGAAUAUUGCACAAUGGGGGAAACCCUGAUGCAGCCAUGCCGCGUGUGUGAAGAAGGCCUUCGGUUGUAAGCACUUUCAGUAGGGAGGAAGGUAGUGUAGUUAACACCUGCAUUAUUUGACGUUUACCUACAGAAGAAGCACCGGCUAACUCCGUGCCAGCAGCCGCGGUAAUACGGAGGGUGCGAGCGUUAAUCGGAAUUACUGGGCGUAAAGCGCAUGCAGGCGGCCUGUUAAGUCAGAUGUGAAAGCCCGGGGCUAACCUCGGAAUUGCAUUUGAAACUGGCAGGCUAGAGUCUUGUAGAGGGGGUAGAA
rnacentral:rRNA from 1 species